GCAGACACAUUCCAGCCAAUCAGCAGCAGACCCUCCCUCCCAGACCCUCCCACCUCCUGGACAGCAUCCAUUUUAUAUUCAUUGUGAAGCUGCAUUCUUAGUGAGCUGUCCAGGAGGUGGGAGGGUCUGGGAGGGAGGGUCUGCUGCUGAUUGGCUGAAAUGUGUCUG